rnacentral:snRNA from 12 species
AGCUUUGCGCAGUGGCAGUAUCGUAACCAAUGAGGUUUAUCCGAGGCGCGAUUAUUGCUAAUCGAAAUGUGGGAGGUAAACGACCUCAGCAGUGCUGAAGAUGCAGGAACUCAUCAGAGGGCUCCUGAGAGCAUCCACCCCGGAGUUCGUGGACAUUUUCAGUGAGCCUCUGGGCU